CCGGAUCCUAGACGCUUUUUGACGGCUGGUGCUCCCCAGAAAAUGCGCCGUGUGAGCCCAAACAUGGUGGGGUAGAUCCAGUACGCUGGACCCCGAGCUUGCAGUCUGUGCUUCACAAAACACCAACAUCGUGUGCCCGUCUCCUCCCCCCGAGAUCGAGUAGUAACAGCCAUUCCAACUCUCCACCUCCAGCUUCUAGCACCAGGGACCGCCUCCACCACCCCAUGUGCCAAGUGGAGUUCGAGCUGGCGCGCGCGGCCCUCAAGCAGCUGAAGGGUCCCGUGAGCGAGCAGGAGAAGCUGCUGGUCUAUGGCUUGUACAAACAGGCCACCCAGGGCGACUGCGACAUCCCCGCCCCUCCGGCCUCAGACAUCAGGAUAUCAGGUCAGCUCCAGUUCUUGCUGGGACCAAUAAACAAUAGAAGCAACCACCAUAGAGACUGAAGAGGACAAAGGAAACCAAACCUCACUGUGUGUCUUCAAGAUCUUCUGUUCACAUAGUUGCAGGAAGUUGCUGUAGACAAAGUAUGAAGAAUGAAGCCCACCCAGGACAUCACAGCAACGAAAGAACUAUUUCUGGUAACUGUAGACCAGGUGAGAGCCACACUGUAGAACAGCAGUGCUGCCCUCUCUUCUUUGGCGAAUGUUAUGAAGACAUUCUGAUGCACUGAGGAUCAUGAUUCAUGUUAAAUGUAAAUUAAUCGUAAAAAUAACACAUCUUGCUCCAAAAUGUGACAAUUUAGAAGCUGUCUAUAUAGCCAGACCACUCUAAAUCACAGAACCUAGAAAGUAAAAAUGUGCCAUAAUUAGGACAGCAGAAAGUAACAGUAAAGUAAAGUUUUAA
rnacentral:sRNA from 1 species